GAUUGGGUUUUUUUCAAAACCAUCAUUCACAUAUAAAAGAAAUAUAU
rfam:Buceros rhinoceros silvestris contig38593, whole genome shotgun sequence.